rnacentral:misc_RNA from 1 species
CUGAGUUAGGGUCUUGAUGGCCUGACCUCCAACCCUUUGUCUAUUAUACUUAUGUUGCUUUGGCGGGCCUGCCUUUCGGGGCUGCCGGGGGCCUUACUACCCCUGACCCGUGCCUGUCAGGAGCCAUUUUUAAAAUUCAGUGUUAAACUAUGUUGUCUGAGUCCCAAUAUCAAAUUAUAAA